CGCGUGUACUGGUCCGGCCGGGCCUUUCCUUCUGGGGAACCUCAUGCCCUUCACUGGGCGUGUUGGGGAACCAGGACUUUUACUUUGAAAAAAUUAGAGUGUUCAAAGCAGGCCUUUGCUCGAAUACAUUAGCAUGGAAUAAUAGAAUAGGACGUGUGGUUCUAUUUUGUUGGUUUCUAGGACCGCCGUAAUGAUUAAUAGGGAUAGUCGGGGGCAUCAGUAUUCAAUCGUGAGAGGUGAAAUUCUUGGAUUGAUUGAAGACUAACUACUGCGAAAGCAUUUGCCAAGGAUGUUUUCAUUAAUCAGUGAACGAAAGUUAGGGGAUCGAAGACGAUCAGAUACCGUCGUAGUCUUAACCAUAAACUAUGCCGACUAGGGAUCGGACGGUGUUAGUAUUUUGACCCGUUCGGCACCUUACGAGAAAUCAAAGUUUUUGGGUUCUGGGGGGAGUAUGGUCGCAAGGCUGAAACUUAAAGAAAUUGACGGAAGGGCACCACCAGGCGUGGAGCCUGCGGCUUAAUUUUGACUCAACACGGGGAAACUCACCAGGUCCAGACACAAUAAGGAUUGACAGAUUGAGAGCUCUUUCUUGAUUUUGUGGGUGGUGGUGCAUGGCCGUUCUUAGUUGGUGGAGUGAUUUGUCUGCUUAAUUGCGAUAACGAACGAGACCUUAACCUGCUAAAUAGCCAGGCCCGCUUUGGCGGGUCGCCGGCUUCUUAGAGGGACUAUCGG
rnacentral:rRNA from 1 species